GACGAACCGUGCGAACGUUGUUCGGAAUCACUGGGCUUAAAGGGCGCGUAGGCGGGCAGGCAAGUCAGGGGUGAAAUCCCACGGCUCAACCGUGGAAGUGCCUUUGAUACUGCCUGUCUUGAGGGAGGUAGGGGCGUGCGGAACUUCCGGUGGAGCGGUGAAAUGCGUAGAUAUCGGAAGGAACACCGGUGGCGAAAGCGGCGCGCUGGACCUCUACUGACGCUGAGGCGCGAAAGCCAGGGGAGCAAACGGG
rnacentral:rRNA from 1 species